rnacentral:rRNA from 1 species
AUUGAACGCUGGCGGCAGGCCUAACACAUGCAAGUCGAGCGAGCGGCGGACGGGUGAGUAAUGUAUGGGGACUGCCCGAUAGAGGGGGAUAACUCCUGGAAACGGUAGCUAAUACCGCAUACUAUCGGAUAACCCAUAUGGGAUUAGCUCGUAGGUGAGGUAAUGGCUCACCUAGGCGACGAUCCCUAGCUGGUCUGGGAGGAUGAUCAGCCACACUGGGACUUGGACACGGCCCAGCCUCCUACGGAGGCAGUAGUGGGGAAUAUUGCACAAUGGGCGCAAGCCUGAGGCAGCCAUGCCGCGUGUAUGAAGAAGGCCUUAGGGUUGUAAAGUACUUUCAGUCGGGAGGCGUUACCGACAGAAGAAGCACCGGCUAACUCCGUGCCAGCCGCCGCGGUAAUAC